rnacentral:rRNA from 1 species
ACCAGGCCUUGACAUGCAGAGAACUUUCCAGAGAUGGAUUGGUGCCUUCGGGAACUCUGACACAGGUGCUGCAUGGCUGUCGUCAGCUCGUGUCGUGAGACUGUUGGGUUAAGUCCCGUAACGAGCGCAACCCUUGUCCUUAGUUACCAGCACGUUAUGGUGGGCACUCUAAGGAGACUGCCGGUGACAAACCGGAGGAAGGUGGGGAUGACGUCAAGUCAUCAUGGCCCUUACGGCCUGGGCUACACACGUGCUACAAUGGUCGGUACAAAGGGUUGCCAAGCCGCGAGGUGGAGCUAAUCCCAUAAAACCGAUCGUAGUCCGGAUCGCAGUCUGCAACUCGACUGCGUGAAGUCGGAAUCGCUAGUAAUCGUGAAUCAGAAUGUCACGGUGAAUACGUUCCCGGGCCUU